rnacentral:rRNA from 1 species
UGGGGAAUUUUGGACAAUGGGCGAAAGCCUGAUCCAGCAAUGCCGCGUGCAGGAUGAAGGCCUUCGGGUUGUAAACUGCUUUUGUACGGAACGAAAAAGCUUCUCCUAAUACGAGAGGCCCAUGACGGUACCGUAAGAAUAAGCACCGGCUAACUACGUGCCAGCAGCCGCGGUAAUACGUAGGGUGCGAGCGUUAAUCGGAAUUACUGGGCGUAAAGCGUGCGCAGGCGGUUAUGCAAGACAGAUGUGAAAUCCCCGGGCUCAACCUGGGAACUGCAUUUGUGACUGCAAGGCUAGAGUACGGUAGAGGGGAGUGGAAUUCCGCGUGUAGCAGUGAAAUGCGUAGAUAUGCGGAGGAACACCGAUGGCGAAGGCAGCUCCCUGGACCUGUACUGACGCUCAUGCACGAAAGCGUGGGGAGCAAACAGGAUUAGAUACCCUGGUAGUCCAAGCCCUAAACGAUGUCAACUGGUUGUUGGACGGCUUGCUGUUCAGUAACGAAGCUAACGCGUGAAGUUGACNGCCUGGGGAGUACGGCCGCAAGGUUG